rnacentral:rRNA from 1 species
GUGGGGAAUAUUGGGCAAUGGGGGAAACCCUGACCCAGCGACGCCGCGUGAGGGAAGACGGCCUUCGGGUUGUAAACCUCUUUUGUACGGGAAGAAGGAAGUGACGGUACUGUACGAAUAAGUCCCGGCUAACUACGUGCCAGCAGCCGCGGUAAUACGUAGGGGACGAGCGUUGUCCGGAAUUACUGGGCGUAAAGGGCGCGCAGGCUGUGCUGCAAGUCAGCUGUGAAAUGUCUGGGCUUAACCCGGGCAUGCGGUUGAGACUGCAGUGCUGGAGUGCUGUAGAGGCAAGUGGAAUUCCCAGUGUAGCGGUGAAAUGCGUAGAUAUUGGGAAGAACACCGGUGGCGAAGGCGACUUGCUGGGCAGCAACUGACGCUGAGGCGCGAAAGCCAGGGUAGCGAACGGGAUUAGAUACCCCAGUAGUCC